rnacentral:tRNA from 1 species
UUUUAAUAUGGCAGAUUAGUGCUAUAGAUCUAAAAUCUAUUAAUAAAGUUUUCUUUUAUUAAAA